UGGGACCUCACUGGAGAUGAGCCUAUGGUU
rnacentral:piRNA from 1 species